GGUGGCCCAGUGCUAGUUCUGCGCUCCGAGCGGAUCUUCAUUAGCUUGCUUUUGAAGAUCAGCGGCGGACGGGUGAGUAACACGUGGGCAACCUGCCUGUAAGACUGGGAUAACUUCGGGAAACCGGAGCUAAUACCGGAUAAUCCUUUCCCUCUCAUGAGGGAAAGCUGAAAGACGGUUUCGGCUGUCACUUACAGAUGGGCCCGCGGCGCAUUAGCUAGUUGGUGAGGUAACGGCUCACCAAGGCGACGAUGCGUAGCCGACCUGAGAGGGUGAUCGGCCACACUGGGACUGAGACACGGCCCAGACUCCUACGGGAGGCAGCAGUAGGGAAUCUUCCGCAAUGGACGAAAGUCUGACGGAGCAACGCCGCGUGAGCGAUGAAGGCCUUCGGGUCGUAAAGCUCUGUUGUCAGGGAAGAACAAGUAUCGGAGUAACUGCCGGUACCUUGACGGUACCUGACCAGAAAGCCACGGCUAACUACGUGCCAGCAGCCGCGGUAAUACGUAGGUGGCAAGCGUUGUCCGGAAUUAUUGGGCGUAAAGCGCGCGCAGGCGGUUCCUUAAGUCUGAUGUGAAAGCCCCCGGCUCAACCGGGGAGGGUCAUUGGAAACUGGGGAACUUGAGUGCAGAAGAGGAGAGCGGAAUUCCACGUGUAGCGGUGAAAUGCGUAGAGAUGUGGAGGAACACCAGUGGCGAAGGCGGCUCUCUGGUCUGUAACUGACGCUGAGGCGCGAAAGCGUGGGGAGCGAACAGGAUUAGAUACCCUGGUAGUCCACGCCGUAAACGAUGAGUGCUAAGUGUUAGAGGGUUUCCGCCCUUUAGUGCUGCAGCAAACGCAUUAAGCACUCCGCCUGGGGAGUACGGCCGCAAGGCUGAAACUCAAAGGAAUUGACGGGGGCCCGCACAAGCGGUGGAGCAUGUG
rnacentral:rRNA from 1 species